rnacentral:rRNA from 1 species
UACGAAGGGUGCAAACGUUGCUCGGAAUUAUUGGGCGUAAAGCGCACGCAGGCGGUUUUAGUCAGUCUCUACUGGACAGUGUCCGGCUCAACCGGGCAAGUGGUAGGGAAACUGCUAAACUUGAGGGCUUCAGAGGGAUUGGGGAACUCCAGGUGGAGUGGUGAAAUUCGUAGAUAUCGGAGGAACAACCAGUGGCGAAGGCGGAUCUCUGGCCUUACCGUGACGCUCAGGCGCGAAAGCUGAAGGG